rnacentral:rRNA from 1 species
GUCGAGCAAGGAUGAAAAUCGGACUUAGUGAUCCGGUGGUUCUGCGUGGAAGGGCCAUCGCUCAACGGAUAAAAGCUACCCUGGGGAUAACAGGCUUAUCUCCCCCAAGAGUCCACAUCGACGGGGAGGUUUGGCACCUCGAUGUCGGCUCAUCACAUCCUGGGGCUGUAGUAGGUCCCAAGGGUUGGGCUGUUCGCCCAUUAAAGUGGUACGCGAGCUGGGUUCAGAACGUCGUGAGACAGUUCGGUCCCUAUCCGUCGCAGGCGUAGGAAAUUUGAGAAGACCUGGCCUUAGUACGAGAGGACCGGGAUGGACGUACCUCUGGUGUACCAGUUGUCCUGCCAAGGGCAUGGCUGGGUAGCUAUGUACGGAAUGGAUAAGCGCUGAAAGCAUCUAAGCGCGAAGCCAACUUCAA